GAUGAACGCUGGCGGCGUGCCUAAUACAUGCAAGUCGAGCGAACAGACGAGGAGCUUGCUCCUCUGACGUUAGCGGCGGACGGGUGAGUAACACGUGGAUAACCUACCUAUAAGACUGGGAUAACUUCGGGAAACCGGAGCUAAUACCGGAUAAUAUAUUGAACCGCAUGGUUCAAUAGUGAAAGACGGUUUUGCUGUCACUUAUAGAUGGAUCCGCGCCGCAUUAGCUAGUUGGUAAGGUGACGGCUUACCAAGGCAACGAUGCGUAGCCGACCUGAGAGGGUGAUCGGCCACACUGGAACUGAGACACGGUCCAGACUCCUACGGGAGGCAGCAGUAGGGAAUCUUCCGCAAUGGGCGAAAGCUUGACGGAGCAACGCCGCGUGAGUGAUGAAGGUCUUCGGAUCGUAAAACUCUGUUAUUAGGGAACAACAAAUGUGUAAGUAACUAUGCACGUCUUGACGGUACCUAAUCAGAAAGCCACGGCUAACUACGUG
rnacentral:rRNA from 1 species